AUUGAACGCUAGCGGGAUGCUUUACACAUGCAAGUCGAACGGCAGCGCGGACUUCGGUCUGGCGGCGAGUGGCGAACGGGUGAGUAAUGUAUCGGAACGUGCCCAGUAGCGGGGGAUAACUACGCGAAAGCGUAGCUAAUACCGCAUACGCCCUACGGGGGAAAGCAGGGGAUCGUAAGACCUUGCACUAUUGGAGCGGCCGAUAUCGGAUUAGCUAGUUGGUGAGGUAACGGCUCACCAAGGCGACGAUCCGUAGCUGGUUUGAGAGGACGACCAGCCACACUGGGACUGAGACACGGCCCAGACUCCUACGGGAGGCAGCAGUGGGGAAUUUUGGACAAUGGGGGCAACCCUGAUGCAGCCAUCCCGCGUGUGCGAUGAAGGCCUUCGGGUUGUAAAGCACUUUUGGCAGGAAAGAAACGUCGCGGGCUAAUACCCCAUGUAACUGACGGUACCUGCAGAAUAAGCACCGGCUAACUACGUG
rnacentral:rRNA from 1 species